rnacentral:rRNA from 1 species
CUGGGGGUGAAAGGCCAAUCAAACCGGGAGAUAGCUGGUUCUCCCCGAAAGCUAUUUAGGUAGCGCCUCGUGAAUUCAUCUUCGGGGGUAGAGCACUGUUUCGGCUAGGGGGUCAUCCCGACUUACCAACCCGAUGCAAACUACGAAUACCGAAGAAUGUUAUCACGGGAGACACACGGCGGGUGCUAACGUCCGUCGUGAAGAGGGAAACAACCCAGACCGCCAGCUAAGGUCCCAAAGUCAUGGUUAAGUGGGAAACGAUGUGGGAAGGCACAGACAGCCAGGAUGUUGGCUUAGAAGCAGCCAUCAUUUAAAGAAAGCGUAAUAGCUCACUGGUCGAGUCGGCCUGCGCGGAAGAUGUA